UACCUAGACAGGAAGUCUCUAUGGAAGACAGGAAGUGAUGUCAGGUUCACACGGGAAGUAUAUAAAGACAAAGACAGGAAGUUGUGGGCGGAGAGGUGGGGUAGGAGGAAGUAGAGAGAAGACUUUGGUGGAAUUGGCAGCAGAGGAGUCCAGAUAAUUCUCCAAAAUCCAUCUUCGGAGAAUAGGAGUGAAAUCAGGAGUGGGAGUAUUUAGAAGGACACAAGGAUCUCUACAAGGACCUCAUGAUGGACACACAUGAAGAGGACGAUAACGUACAACAUGAUCAGAGUGGAAACCUCUUGGAUAAUAAUAUUGAUAUUAAAGA